UACGGAGGAUGCAAGCGUUAUCCGGAUUUAUUGGGUUUAAAGGGUGCGUAGGCUGACGUGUAAGUCAGAGGUGAAAUCUCCGGGCUCAACCUGGGAACUGCCUUUGAUACUGCAUGUCUGGAGUUCGGAUGCCGUGGGAGGAAUGGGCAGUGUAGCGGUGAAAUGCAUAGAUAUUGCCCAGAACACCGAUUGCGAAGGCAUCUCACGAAUCCGACACUGACGCUGAGGCACGAAAGCGUGGGGAU
rnacentral:rRNA from 1 species